GACGAACGCUGGCGGCGUGCUUAACACAUGCAAGUCGAACGGAAAGGCCCUGCUUGCAGGGUGCUCGAGUGGCGAACGGGUGAGUAACACGUGGGUGAUCUGCCCCUUACUUUGGGAUAAGCCUGGGAAACUGGGUCUAAUACUGGAUAGGACCAUGCUGUAGGUGGUGUGGUGGAAAGAUUAGUUUCGGUAAGGGAUGAGCUCGCGGCCUAUCAGCUUGUUGGUGGGUAAUGGCCUACCAAGGCGUCGACGGGUAGCCGGCCUGAGAGGGUGGACGGCCACAUUGGGACUGAGAUACGGCCCAGACUCCUACGGGGGGCAGCAGUGGGGAAUAUUGCACAAUGGGCGCAAGCCUGAUGCAGCGACGCCGCGUGGGGGAUGACGGCCUUCGGGUUGUAAACUCCUUUCAGCCAUGACGAAGCCCUUGUGGUGACGGUAGUGGUAGAAGAAGCACCGGCUAACUACGUG
rnacentral:rRNA from 1 species